GAUGAACGCUGGCGGCGUGCUUAACACAUGCAAGUCGAACGGUGAAGCAGAGCUUGCUCUGUGGAUCAGUGGCGAACGGGUGAGUAACACGUGAGCAACCUGCCCCUGACUCUGGGAUAAGCGCUGGAAACGGCGUCUAAUACUGAAUAUGAGCUGCGACCGCAUGGUCAGCAGUUGGAAAGAUGUUUCGGUCUGGGGUAGGCUCACGGCCUAUCAGCUUGUUGGUGAGGUAAUGGCUCACCAAGGCGUCGACGGGUAGCCGGCCUGAGAGGGUGACCGGCCACACUGGGACUGAGACACGGCCCAGACGCCUACGGGAGGCAGCAGUGGGGAAUAUUGCACAAUGGGCGAAAGCCUGAUGCAGCAGCGCCGCGUGUGGGAUGACGGCCUUCGGGUUGUAAACCUCUUUUAGCAGGGAAGAAGCGAAAGUGACGGUACCUGCAGAAAAAGCGCCGGCUAACUACGUG
rnacentral:rRNA from 1 species